GAAAUCAGAGAAAUGGCGCUUCACCCUAUUCCUUCAUCUUCUUCCUCCUUGACUUACCUUAACUAGCCUGAGUUUUGAGCGAGCUCACUCAAAACGGUCCCCCCUUCACGUCAUUUGAGUCCUAACGGAUUUGUCAGAGAGGAGUACGAAUUUUCUCUCCCAAAUCGCAUGAUUUUGGGUGCAGAAAGGACAAUUGUUGGAUGAAUGGGAGCCGUGGAUAGAUGUGAAUCAAUCCACGCCCUCUAUUUGUCCCAAAAUUGUUCAAAAACUUGAGGGAUUUUUCGAAUUUUUGGGCAGAUUAUUUGAAGAUUUUGAAGACUAUAUAUAUGAGAAAAGAUACAAAAAGCAUAAAAGAAAACAAAUGGCUGGAGUUCAGCUUUCAUUCGAGUUUUUUUAAGAGAAAAAAUAAAAAAAAGGCUACUGAAACAGAUAUCCUUUUAGCCUUGGUUCUUUUCUUAAUUUCUGGUUCUAAAAGGAUGUUUUGGAUUAAAUUUCAAGUUGAAGUUUGUGUCUGGGAUUCUGAAUUUCUGGGCUCUAUUGAUUCUGUCCGAGUUGGUCUUUCGCAAUUUCAAUUUGGCUACAGUUUCUGCUCAACUUUGUUGUCGCAUUUCUUUGUAUUCGACUCCCAGAAUUAAUUGAAAUAUUUCGCAUUCAGGUUAUCCUCCUAUCUUCUUCUAUCUCUACUAUUAUUCAUGUUGAAUUGAAGCCUUGGAAGAGUCAUUAAAAGAUGAGUUUAAACCUAAGUGGUAGCAGAAUUUUUUUUUAUUUCCUCCCCUGUUUACUUUAUGUCAUAAGACAUGCUGCCCUUUUCUUUAUGCUUGUCUGAUGGGUUCGUGCAUGGUUUGAGUGAUUUGAAGGUGUUCUCUCUUUUAGUCUGUGUAAACAAAUGAUGCCUACCAUCGAGAUCUACAAAUGUAAUUACUAUGUUUUCAUUUUUUUUUUGGAAAAAAAACUGUUUUGUGACGAGCUUA